UCGACCUUUGCUCAGUUGGUAGAGCGGAGGACUAUAGAUCCUUAGGUCACUGGUUCGAAUCCGGUAGGUCGGA